GGUUAUGAUUAAACGGUUCACUGUCAUGGGGUGUCAGGGGUCGGAGGUUCGAAUCCUCUCAUACCGACCA
rnacentral:tRNA from 1 species